CCUACGGGAGGCAGCAGUGAGGAAUAUUGGUCAAUGGGCGCGAGCCUGAACCAGCCAAGUCGCGUGAGGGAGGACGGCCCUACGGGUUGUAAACCUCUUUUGCCGGGGAGCAACGGGCGCCACGUGUGGCGUCACUGAGAGUACCCGGAGAAAAAGCAUCGGUUAACUCCGUGCCAGCAGCGGCGGUAAUACGGAGGAUGCGAGCGUUAUCCGGGUUUUUUGGGUUUAAAGGGUGCGUAGGCGGAUCGUUAAGUCAGUGGUCAAAUUGGGGGGCCAAACCCGUUCCCGCCAUUGAAACUGGCGUUCUUGAGUGGAAGAGAGGUAUGCGGAAUGCGUGGUGUAGCGGUGAAAUGCAUAGAUAUCACGCAGAACCCCGAUUGCGAAGGCAGCAUGCCGGCUUCCGACUGACGCUGAAGCACGAAAGCGUGGGGAUCGAACAGGAUUAGAUACCCUGGUAGUC
rnacentral:rRNA from 1 species